AAUAGAUACCCGGGUAGUCCACGCCGUAAACGAUGUCGACUUGGAGGUUGUUCCCUUGAGGAGUGGCUUCCGGAGCUAACGCGUUAAGUCGACCGCCUGGGGAGUACGGCCGCAAGGUUAAAACUCAAAUGAAUUGACGGGGGGCCCGCACAAGCGGUGGAGCAUGUGGUUUAAUUCGAUGCAACGCGAAGAACCUUACCUACUCUUGACAUCCACGGAACUUAGCAGAGAUGCUUUGGUGCCUUCGGGAACCGUGAGACAGGUGCUGCAUGGCUGUCGUCAGCUCGUGUUGUGAAAUGUUGGGUUAAGUCCCGCAACGAGCGCAACCCUUAUCCUUUGUUGCCAGCGGUCCGGCCGGGAACUCAAAGGAGACUGCCAGUGAUAAACUGGAGGAAGGUGGGGAUGACGUCAAGUCAUCAUGGCCCUUACGAGUAGGGCUACACACGUGCUACAAUGGCGCAUACAAAGAGAAGCGACCUCGCGAGAGCAAGCGGACCCCAUAAAGUGCGUCGUAGUCCGGAUUGGAGUCUGCAACUCGACU
rnacentral:rRNA from 1 species